rnacentral:lncRNA from 10 species
CUUUUUGCUCACCCCACCUGGUACUCCAUGUCGUAGCUGGGCAGGAUGAUCCGCCCGUGCUUCCACUCGCCGCCCUGGUCCUCACGGAUGACCCACAGCAACUUGCUCUCCUGGCUGGCUUCCCGCACCACCUGCAGCGCCACCCCGCGGCCGCCCGUGGCCUGGGACUGUGAAUAUCCUGGACUUGUCAGGGUAGAUGGGCUAGGAUUCUAGAGCCUAGAAUCAAUGCAAUACUCCCUGGACCACUGCUUUGCUGUUGUUAAUCCUGCUGACCUCAACUUUCUAGUUAUCUAGUGAGGGAGAAUGAGACAGCUAUAAAGAUACCAGCCACUGAACACUCCAUCAAGGGAUCCCACAGAAGACACAUCCCUCCAUUACUUGCUUCUUGGUUCAUACCAAAACCAGGGAACUAAAGAAUCAUCAAGGGCCCCUGGUGGUUGCUCUCAUGUGAGUGUCCAAAGCACUGGAGCAGUGUUGUCCAAUACAUUCUGUGAUGAUGCCGUGUAUACAGUGACGUGCCCUGUCUAUGCACUGACCAAUACAGUGUAGCUACUGUGCCCUUGGAAUGUGGCUGGUGGGACAGCAGAACCGAAGUUUUGGCUGUAA